GGGUUGUGAGGUUAAGCGACUAAGCGUACACGGUGGAUGCCCUGGCAGUCAGAGGCGAUGAAGGGCGUGCUAAUCUGCGAUAAGCGCCGGUAAGGUGAUAUGAACCGUUAUAACCGGCGAUACCCGAAUGGGGAAACCCAGUGUGACUCGUCACACUAUCAUUAACUGAAUCCAUAGGUUAAUGAGGCGAACCGGGGGAACUGAAACAUCUAAGUACCCCGAGGAAAAGAAAUCAACCGAGAUUCCCCCAGUAGCGGCGAGCGAACGGGGAGGAGCCCAGAGCCUGAAUCAGCAUGUGUGUUAGUGGAAGCGUCUGGAAAGGCGCGCGAUACAGGGUGACAGCCCCGUACACAAAAGCGCAUGUGCUGUGAGCUCGAUGAGUAGGGCGGGACACGUGGUAUCCUGUCUGAAUAUGGGGGGACCAUCCUCCAAGGCUAAAUACUCCUGACUGACCGAUAGUGAACCAGUACCGUGAGGGAAAGGCGAAAAGAACCCCGGCGAGGGGAGUGAAAAAGAACCUGAAACCGUGUACGUACAAGCAGUGGGAGCACAGGUUUACCUGUGUGACUGCGUACCUUUUGUAUAAUGGGUCAGCGACUUAUAUUCUGUAGCAAGGUUAACCGAAUAGGGGAGCCGGAGGGAAACCGAGUCUUAAUUGGGCGUUAAGUUGCAGGGUAUAGACCCGAAACCCGGUGAUCUAGCCAUGGGCAGGUUGAAGGUUGGGUAACACUAACUGGAGGACCGAACCGACUAAUGUUGAAAAAUUAGCGGAUGACCUGUGGCUGGGGGUGAAAGGCCAAUCAAACCGGGAGAUAGCUGGUUCUCCCCGAAAGCUAUUUAGGUAGCGCCUCGUGAAUUCAUCUCCGGGGGUAGAGCACUGUUUCGGCUAGGGGGCCAUCCCGGCUUACCAACCCGAUGCAAACUGCGAAUACCGGAGAAUGUUAUCACGGGAGACACACGGCGGGUGCUAACGUCCGUCGUGAAGAGGGAAACAACCCAGACCGCCAGCUAAGGUCCCAAAGUCAUGGUUAAGUGGGAAACGAUGUGGGAAGGCCCAGACAGCCAGGAUGUUGGCUUAGAAGCAGCCAUCAUUUAAAGAAAGCGUAAUAGCUCACUGGUCGAGUCGGCCUGCGCGGAAGAUGUAACGGGGCUAAACCAUGCACCGAAGCUGCGGCAGCGAACGUAUCACUUAAAGCGAUUCAGCGGGUUACGAUUGACGGAGCGAAGCGACGUCAAAGCGUAUACAAAGUCGAGUCGGUUUAAGGAUACGUUCGUUGGGUAGGGGAGCGUUCUGUAAGCCUGUGAAGGUGGCCUGUGAGGGUUGCUGGAGGUAUCAGAAGUGCGAAUGCUGACAUAAGUAACGAUAAAGCGGGUGAAAAGCCCGCUCGCCGGAAGACCAAGGGUUCCUGUCCAACGUUAAUCGGGGCAGGGUGAGUCGACCCCUAAGGUGAGGCCGAAAGGCGUAGUCGAUGGGAAACGGGUUAAUAUUCCCGUACUUGGUGUUACUGCGAAGGGGGGACGGAGAAGGCUAUGUUGGCCGGGCGACGGUUGUCCCGGUUUAAGCGUGUAGGUGUGUGUUCCAGGUAAAUCCGGUUCACUUUAACACUGAGGCGUGACGACGAGGCACUACGGUGCUGAAGCAACAAAUGCCCUGCUUCCAGGAAAAGCCUCUAAGCAUCAGGUAACAUCAAAUCGUACCCCAAACCGACACAGGUGGUCAGGUAGAGAAUACCAAGGCGCUUGAGAGAACUCGGGUGAAGGAACUAGGCAAAAUGGUGCCGUAACUUCGGGAGAAGGCACGCUGACACGUAGGUGAAGUGAUUUACUCACGGAGCUGAAGUCAGUCGAAGAUACCAGCUGGCUGCAACUGUUUAUUAAAAACACAGCACUGUGCAAACACGAAAGUGGACGUAUACGGUGUGACGCCUGCCCGGUGCCGGAAGGUUAAUUGAUGGGGUCAGCGCAAGCGAAGCUCCUGAUCGAAGCCCCGGUAAACGGCGGCCGUAACUAUAACGGUCCUAAGGUAGCGAAAUUCCUUGUCGGGUAAGUUCCGACCUGCACGAAUGGCGUAAUGAUGGCCAGGCUGUCUCCACCCGAGACUCAGUGAAAUUGAACUCGCUGUGAAGAUGCAGUGUACCCGCGGCAAGACGGAAAGACCCCGUGAACCUUUACUAUAGCUUGACACUGAACAUUGAGCCUUGAUGUGUAGGAUAGGUGGGAGGCUUUGAAGUGUGGACGCCAGUCUGCAUGGAGCCGACCUUGAAAUACCACCCUUUAAUGUUUGAUGUUCUAACGUGGACCCGUGAUCCGGGUUGCGGACAGUGUCUGGUGGGUAGUUUGACUGGGGCGGUCUCCUCCUAAAGAGUAACGGAGGAGCACGAAGGUUGGCUAAUCCUGGUCGGACAUCAGGAGGUUAGUGCAAUGGCAUAAGCCAGCUUGACUGCGAGCGUGACGGCGCGAGCAGGUGCGAAAGCAGGUCAUAGUGAUCCGGUGGUUCUGAAUGGAAGGGCCAUCGCUCAACGGAUAAAAGGUACUCCGGGGAUAACAGGCUGAUACCGCCCAAGAGUUCAUAUCGACGGCGGUGUUUGGCACCUCGAUGUCGGCUCAUCACAUCCUGGGGCUGAAGUAGGUCCCAAGGGUAUGGCUGUUCGCCAUUUAAAGUGGUACGCGAGCUGGGUUUAGAACGUCGUGAGACAGUUCGGUCCCUAUCUGCCGUGGGCGCUGGAGAACUGAGGGGGGCUGCUCCUAGUACGAGAGGACCGGAGUGGACGCAUCACUGGUGUUCGGGUUGUCAUGCCAAUGGCACUGCCCGGUAGCUAAAUGCGGAAGAGAUAAGUGCUGAAAGCAUCUAAGCACGAAACUUGCCCCGAGAUGAGUUCUCCCUGAGACUUAGAGUCUCCUGAAGGAACGUUGAAGACGACGACGUUGAUAGGCCGGGUGUGUAAGCGCAGCGAUGCGUUGAGCUAACCGGUACUAAUGAACCGUGAGGCUUAACCUUACAACGCCGAAG
rnacentral:rRNA from 1 species